AGAGAUAGAGGAGUGCUCGAAAGAGAACCGUAACACAGGUGCUGCAUGGCUGUCGUCAGCUCGUGUCGUGAGAUGUUGGGUUAAGCCCGCAACGAGCGCAACCCUUGUUCAUUAGUUGCUACAUUCAGUUGGGCACUCUAAUGAGACUGCCGGUGACAAACCGGAGGAAGUGGGGAUGACGUCAAGUCCUUCAUGGCCCUUAUAGUGGGGCUACACACGUCAUACAAUGGAUGGUACAAAGGGUCGCCAACCCGCAGGGGGAGCCAAUCCCAUAAAGCCAUUCGUAGUCCGGAUCGCAGUCUGCAACUCGACUGCGUGAAGUCGGAAUCGCUAGUAAUCGUGGAUCAGAAUGUCACGGUGAAUACGUUCCCGGGUCUU
rnacentral:rRNA from 1 species